UUGAAGAAUUAGGGUUCGAUUUCGGAGAGGGAGCAUGAGAAACGGCUACCACAUCUAAGGAAGGCAGCAGGCGCGUAAAUUACCCAAUCCUGACUCAGGGAGGUAGUGACAAGAAAUAGCAAACCGGGAACCUCAUGGUUUCACGGUAUUGCAAUGAGGACAAUUUAAAACCCUUAGCGAGAAUCAAGUGGAGGACAAGUCUGGUGCCAGCACCCGCGGUAAUUCCAGCUCCACUAGCGUAUAUUAAAGUUGUUGCAGUUAAAAAGCUCGUAGUUGAACCUCUGUCUGGGGCUAGUUUUGGCUUUGGUCAGGCUAGUUCUAGGCAUCCGCCUACAAGACUUAGAGGGCAUUCAGUUGUUCACUAGGAGGAGUAGGCAUUUUACUUUGAAAAAAUUAGAGUGUUUAAGGCAGGCAAUCGCCCGCAUAUAUUAGCAUGGAAUAAUAGAAUAGGACACUUUUCCAUUUCGUUGGUUAUUGGAAUCGUGUAAUGAUUAAUAGGGACAGUUGUGGGCAUUUGUAUUUAAUUGUCAGAGGUGAAAUUCUUGGAUUUAUUAAAGACAAACUAACGCGAAAGCAUUUGCCAAGGAUGUUUUCAUUAAUCAAGAACGAAAGUUAGGGGAUCAAAGACGAUCAGAUACCGUCCUAGUCUUAACUAUAAACUAUUCCGACUCAAUGUUUGACUGGCUUAUAUAACCAGUUGAGCGUUGUAUGAGAAAUCAAAGUCUUUAGGUUCUGGGGGGAGUAUGGUUGCAAAGCUGAAACUUAAAGGAAUUGACGGAAGAGCACAACCAGGAGUGGAUUCUGCGGCUUAAUUUGACUCAACACGGGGAAACUUACCAGGUUAAAACAAUAGUGGGAUUGACAGUUUGAGAGCGCUUUCUUGAUUGGUUGGGUGGUGGUGCAUGGCCGUUCUUAGUUGGUGGAGUGAUUUGUCUGCUUAAUUGCGUUAACGAACGAGACCUUAACCUGCUUACUAGACUGGCGAUCAUCAAUCGUUAGCUCUUCUUAGAGGGACUUUGGUUGUUUUAACUCCAAGGAAGUUUGAGGCAAUAACAGGUCUGUGAUGCCCUUAGAUAUCCUGGGCCGCACGCGUCAUACAAUGACUAGUUCAGAAAGUUUUCUCCUGACCCGAAAGGGGAUGGGUAAUCUUGAUAAUACUAGUCGUGUUAGGGAUCGAUCUUUGCAAUUAUAGAUCUUGAACGAGGAAUUCCUAGUAAGUGCGGUUCAUCAGACCGUACUGAUUACGUCCCUGCUCUUUGUACACACCGCCCGUCGCUUCUACCGAGUGGGUGGUCCGGUGAGAUAAUUGAACUUCGCAGGUAACUGAGAGGAAAGAUUAUCAAACCUAUCCACCUCGAGGAAGAAGAAGUCGUAACAAGGUU
rnacentral:rRNA from 1 species